rnacentral:lncRNA from 1 species
AGUGUCUACGUCAAGUACUCAAGGCAGCGCCUGGGAGUCGCCGAUUGGGACUACCAAGUCGCCGACUCCAGGGGUGAAUCGCUGACUCUAGGCCUCGUGGACAGUUAUGGUAGGCUUCCACUAGGCUCAUGGGGAGUCGGCGAUUGAACCUCUGGGUCGGCGAUUCCCACACCUGAAUCGCCGACUCCCAGCCGUUACUUGAGCGGACCCUCCCCAUUAAGGCAUUCCUUAAUAGGAUACCUUAAUGGGGUGGGUCCCACGCUAAUGAAUGGGGAAACGUCCCCCAAGACCC